AUGCUCAAGGUGGCCAAGCUGCUGCACGCCCGGGGCUUCCACGUCACCUUCGUCCUCACUGAGUUCAACUAUGCCCGCCUCCUCCGGUCGCGCGGCACAGCCGCGUUCACCGCCUGCCCCGGCUUCGACUUCGCCGCCGUCCCCGACGGCCUCCCGCCGUCCGACCCUGACGCCACCCAGGACAUCCCGGCGCUCUGCCGCUCCACCAUGACCACCUGCCUUCCCCACCUCAGCGCCAUCCUGAACCGCCUCAACAACCCCGCCUCCGGUGUGCCGCCUGUGACAUGCGUCCUCUGCGAUGGCGUCAUGUCAUGGGCCUACGAGGCCGCCAAGGAGAUCGGCGUGCCGUGCGCCGCACUGUGGACGGCCAGCGCCUGCGGCUUCAUGGCGUAUAACCACUACAAGCAGCUUGUCGAGGACGGGCUCGUGCCGCUCAAGGACGAGGCGCAGCUCAUGGACGGCUACCUGAACACGGUCGUCGACGGCGUGCCGGGCCUGUGCAACGGCUUCCAGCUGCGCGACUUCCCGAGCUUUAUCCGGACCACGGACCGCGACGACAUCAUGCUCAACUUCCUCAUCCGUGAGUCCGCGCGUCUGACACUGCCCGACGCCGUCAUCAUCAACACAUUCGAUGACCUCGAGAAGCCGGCGCUCGACGCCAUGCAGGCCAUCCUCCCGCCCGUCUACACCCUCGGCCCGCUCCUCCUCCACGUCCGCCGUUCCAGGCCGCCAUCGAGGGCCGCGGAAUUCUCCCGACGUGGUGCCCGCAGGAGGUCGUGA
rnacentral:rRNA from 1 species